GUUCGCUGGAGGAAGAAGCGCCGAGUUCGCCGAAGGAACAAGCGCCGAGUUCGCCGGAGGAACAAGAACGCCCGCCGAGUCCUGUGGUGGCUACACGAGAGGCCCUUAAGAUGAGUAAUGAACAUCCGUUGAGCCGUCCAAUGUUGCCUGUGGCAACUACACCGGAGCCAUCGUCUCCUUUGACUUCACCGCCAUCGUCUCCAUCGACUUCGCCGCAAGACAAUCUGCCACCGCCUCCGCCGAUUUUGCCGGAAGACCAUCAGCCGUCGCCUAGACCUACUUUGAGAAAAUAGAUGACAGCACUGUAACUUAAUAUUACACAGAACAUUGAAGAGGACUUUGAUAACCGACCUUCAAAAAAAGAAAAAAAUUCUGAAUCAAGUGUUCUGGAGCCAUCACCUAUGUCACCAACUAUGUCAACAUGUACUCCAGUUUCUGAGUGUUUUGAAUCGAUUGUGCCAAAAUCAGAUAAUCAGAUAGAUUGUGGUCCAUUGCCAUCACCUCCAUCCCCAUCUAGCUCGACAUUAUCAAGAACAUCGGUCGAGCCGUACAAUGGCGCCUGCAGCGGUUACACCAGAGGUACCUACUCUUGCUACGAUCCAUGGCUUACGUACUGUACUUCUAUAGAUCCUUUUUGGCAUAAUGAGCUAUGUGCAGGCUCUCCAUUUUGGCUAUAUUCAUUUCCGUAA